UGUUUUUAAAAUAGGCCAGUGUGAGCCUGGUGUUUACGGCCGGCUGAUGGUGUCGCCCCAUCGUCCGUUCCAGCCCCCAGGACAGUCAUUUCUGCUGAGCCCACGCACCAUUUCUUGGCUUUUUGGUUCUCAAACCCAGGGCUGCAUGGCCUCACGAUGUUUGUGGUUGUGUGUGUGCACGCACGCGUGUGUUUGUGUGUGUGUGCGUGCGCGCACGCGUGUGGAGGUGGGUGAGCUGGGAACGAAGCCUGCGGGGAAGCUGGGCGGACCGCACCACCCGCGUCACCCUCUAUCCGGUGUGUGCUCACGCGUGAGUGACAGGAAGUAGCUGGGGCUGCAGAUACGUGCCCUGGGUGGCUGUGGCUGGAGAUGAUUGGCCGGGGUUGAUUAGCAUCUUAGGGGGCCACGCCGCUCCGUCCAAUGCGGGCCGAAUGGUCUUUGCACACACACAGCACUGAGGACAUCCGCGCCCCGACCUGCAGCUGCAUGGCUUCACGAGGUUACUGAGGGGCGCCGGUGGGGCUGGAGGCUCUCCUGGGAGAAUCCCAUUUUGGCAGCUUUCUCAGUGGUCCGUUUUCCUUCCUGUGGGCACCCCGAACUUUUGUGGUCACUGAGCCCUGACCUGCUGCCUGCAGCACCAGGACAUCACCCAAGGACAUUGUGGGGCCUGGUGCAGCGCUCCUGAGCACCAGGCUUCUGUAGAGGGGACUCCUGGCCACCCAGAGCAGCAAGACCUUCCAUGAGCCGCUCCCCAUCGGGGGCCAGCGAGCAGCAGGACCUCCCAUGAGCUGCUCCCCAUCGGGGGCCAGCGAGCAGCAGGACCUCCCAUGAGCUGCUCCAUCCUUGGAGCAAGAGUGAGCUGUGGGAUCCUCCAUGUGCUGCUCCACCACUGCUGGCCACCAUUGCUCCAAGUCUAGUGCCUGUGGCAAAUCCAUUGCUCCAUGGUCAGGAUUCAUGCCUGUGCAAGUGAGUAACAUCUGUUUCAAAACUUGCAAUGUGACAAUUGACUAGUUUAUGCAAUUGGAAAAUGUAAGGGGCAUAUGGGUUUCAGGCACAGCUGGAGCCAGGAGGUGAGUCUGUCAUCAGAUUACUGUCUCCAUCUGCCUGUCUAGCUCUGCUCUGCUUCCCCUUGGGUAGCUUCAUUCUUGGGCACGCUGUCUCUCCAGUUAGACGUGACGGGGCCAUAAGAAGCUCCAGGCAUAGAGCAACUCUCUAUUUUCAAUAACCUUCCAAGACUCUCAGGAGUCAGAGUGGCCAGCCUGGGUCAUGUGCCCAUCCAGUCACUGUCUCCAGAGCUGGGCAGUACUGACUGGCCAGCCUGGGUUAUGUGUCUGUGGCCAGGGCCGCUGGACUGCGGAGAGGGUCAUUUUUGGAGCAAACACCGAGAGCCGUUCCCUAAGGAAGGGAAUGAAUGGUAGACAGGCAGAAACCACAUGUGCGGCCCGAGUGCAGCCAUGCUGGGAGUGGCCAGCAAGCGCUCCCAUGGAGAAAAACUAUUUCUGAAGGUAACAGCCCUCCUCAGGGGUGUUGGAGCUCCGCUUUCCCUCCUCUUUCUUCCUUGGGAGCAAAAACUCUGCGGCUGCCAGGACCUGCCUCUCUGCAAACCCCUGUAAAGCUUCAAAGGGGCCUGUCCACCUUGCCAACUUUGAUCUCAGGAGGAAACUUGCUCAGACACAUGAUCAGAAGGAAUGUGUACAAUUCCAGGUAUGCACAGGCACCUCCCUGGGCAGAAAGCAAGACACUUUCAUCGCAGGCUGCGGGAGUCACCAUCUGAAGAGACUCUAUGUCCUUGAAAGCACUUUUCUUUUUAUUAUGUUUGAAAUUCAGCAACGAAAACUGCUUUUGUCUUGCCUCUCUGGAAGCUGUAAGGAUGAGAAGGUGGAGCGCUGUCAUGGAAAGAGGCAGAAAUUUGGUGACACGAGAGCGAUCUCAGGACAGGGUGAAGCCAGGGAUCAGGACUGUGGCGCCCAGUCCCAGCUCAGCUAAGCCAAUGUGUGUCUUUGGUUUGUAGGUGAAGCUCAGUCACCACCCUGAGACAAUGAGGAAAGCUGCCUCAUCUGGAGGAGACGGCGUGGGGCUGAAAGUCAGCUCUGGAGGAGACGACGUGGGGCUGAGGGUCAUCUCAGAUAUAGUUAUGGGGCAGCAGGAGACACAUCUCAGCCUACUCUUCUUUCAUCUGAGAGGAGAAAGCACUCAAAGGGCUUUAAAUUAAAAUCAAUUCCUGUUAAAUCCUGGGCUAAUUUGGUUGGCCAUCUCUUUCAGCUUGAAUGGAGGUGCAAUAAAGCGAGAGCACUUUCUGUGAGAUCCUGAAGGACCCUUGGAAGUGACCUCGUCCUGUCUCCCUCCAGGGAGCCAGGGAAGGCGUGAGCCUACGGGGCGACGACAUGCCAGCCUCUGCCCAGGGCGUCCUAUCGAGGUCCUGGAGAGAUCUGUGUCCCUGGCCACACUGGGACAGUGUCAGCUCCCAUCCAUCUGGUCCUAGUUCUUGCUCCUAAUUCUGCCUCCUGGUUCGCAGAGCCCAGAGAACCCUAGACAACAUGACAGGCACCACACUGAACGUGGGACUCACUUGAUCCCUUCAGGCGUCCCUCUGAGGGGGGCUCACGCUCACGUGUGAGGGAGCAGAGGCUCCAAGAAGGACAGGGACUUGCUGCUGGUCACACAGCUUAGGGGUGCAUGGUGGGUUAUAGAGUGACACCCCCCCAAAUGGCACAGCCACACCCUGAUCUCUGGUACCUAACAGUGUGACCUUAUUUGGUCUUUGCAGAUGUAAUUAAGGAUCUGGAGGUGUGAUCAUCUAGAUUUAAGGUGGACCCUAAAUCCAAUGGCUGUGUUUUCAUAAAAGAGAGUGUGGCAGAGACAGACACAGCAGGGAAGUCGCAUGAAGACAGAGACAGAGACAGCAGCGGAGCAGGCACAAACCAGGGAAACCAGGAGCCACUGGGUGCCGGAAGAGGUGUCAGGACCCUCCCCCAGAGCCCCCGCUGGCCAUGCAGCCGCCUCACAGGAACACCUGCUUAGGGGACGAGGGGAAGAGGUGGAGGGUGGUCAGAGGCAUGGAAAUGGGACAGGAGGACGCUGUCUGUUCAUCCACAGCCGUCCCCUUCUGGAAAGCCUUUCUGAACGGGAAGGUGGGCUGGCUGCCAUGAGCUGCAGUGACAGCCCCUCACAGCCACGGUCCUCAGGGCCAUCCCAGGAGGCACCUGACCUCGUGCAGGUUGGGGGUUUCCCACUCCCAGAGCCUCCGGGGGCUCGGCGCCCCUCUGCCCACUUUCUGUCCGGCUGGAUUAGGAAGCUCACGUUGGCCUCUUCAGAGCAAACCUCACCCACAUCCCAUGCAGGGAUGAGCAGGACCUGUGAGCCCACCCUGUGACGGGAAGGCCCACAGUACAGAGGCAGGGAGCCCCUCCAACGGUACGCACCACCAGGGUGCCAGAUCAGGCCAGACCAGGCGGCCGGCACCCACCUGCAGCGCAGGCAGUCCUGAAAUCCUCUUUCCACACCGGAGCCCCUCUUCCCUGUAUGGCCUCCAGGCCGCCUCCCUCUGUUAGGAUUAAGCCCAGCUUCCUCAGGGAGACCCUGUCUGUCUCCAUCACCGGCACUGUCUCUGGCCCCAGGCACCUUCACACUCUCACUCCCAGCUGCACGGCCGCCACCCACCCAGCUGGGGUUUCCAUUAGGCCCAGUAGGUUCCCCACCUCGGUCUCCUUCAGUGGGUUCCUUGUACACCACUGAGGUCAGGGCCACAUCACAGUUAUUUCUGAGUGUCCAGGGCCGUGAACACGGAGCUGCCACAGUCAACAUUCCCUGUACAUGGAUGUAGGGUCGACCACUGUGCCCUGUGGGGGCCUAGGUCACAGAUAAAUCCCAGGCCUUGUUCAGAGAUGGUGAAGGGUGCCCGGUGGCAAUAGCAGGGUGUCCUCUGAGCCCUGGCACUUCUGAGCUCAGGGCUGAGUGACCACCCAGGUAGCCGCUGUGGGCCCAGCCCUUCUGCGUGGUGCUGGGAGGUGUGGGGGCUCUGUCGUCUUCUCGGGUCCUGGGGAGAUGUGCCUUCUGUGGCCACGUCUCAGCAGCUCCCACGGCCCACCCAGUGAACCGGGAAGUGUGAACUAGCACCUGCUCAGGCCAGUGACUCAUCCGAGUGUCGUUAGCUGUUAAUUAUAAUUAAACCUUUGAUGAGUUGUGUUUCUUAUCUUCUUAAUUAAAAUAAUUAUGACUAA